rnacentral:rRNA from 1 species
GAGAUGUAGCUUGCUACAUUUCCUAGCGGCGGACGGGUGAGUAAUGCUUAGGAAUCUGCCUAUUAGUGGGGGACAACAUUCCGAAAGGAAUGCUAAUACCGCAUACGCCCUACGGGGGAAAGCAGGGGAUCUUCGGACCUUGCGCUAAUAGAUGAGCCUAAGUCAGAUUAGCUAGUUGGUGGGGUAAAGGCCUACCAAGGCGACGAUCUGUAGCGGGUCUGAGAGGAUGAUCCGCCACACUGGGACUGAGACACGGCCCAGACUCCUACGGGAGGCAGCAGUGGGGAAUAUUGGACAAUGGGCGCAAGCCUGAUCCAGCCAUGCCGCGUGUGUGAAGAAGGCCUUUUGGUUGUAAAGCACUUUAAGCGAGGAGGAGGCUACUUGGAUUAAUACUCUAGGAUAGUGGACGUUACUCGCAGAAUAAGCACCGGCUAACUCUGUGCCAGCAGCCGCGGUAAUACAGAGGGUGCGAGCGUUAAUCGGAUUUACUGGGCGUAAAGCGUGCGUAGGCGGCUUUUUAAGUCGGAUGUGAAAUCCCUGAGCUUAACUUAGGAAUUGCAUUCGAUACUGGGAAGCUAGAGUAUGGGAGAGGAUGGUAGAAUUCCAGGUGUAGCGGUGAAAUGCGUAGAGAUCUGGAGGAAUACCGAUGGCGAAGGCAGCCAUCUGGCCUAAUACUGACGCUGAGGUACGAAAGCAUGGGGAGCAAACAGGAUUAGAUACCCUGGUAGUCCAUGCCGUAA